GUAAUUUUUUUCCAUUUCUUCGACAUAGAACAUUAUAGUUUUGAGGCAGCGAAUUGUUUAACCACAAACCAUUUUACUUUAAUGUUGAUCCAAAAGCCAGCGACUUCAGCUCCUGGAACCAUCCGAUGUAUGAAAUGGAAUGGCCAAGACUGACAUGAUCGUUCAUGAACGUCAAAGGAAAGUGCACAAGUGAUCAAGUCGCUCCCGACGGCCCAUGAUUGAAAUACCGUAGUCAAUUGGACAACAUCUCAAACAACAUGUUAAUUGGUGCUAAAAACUUUGAAAAGAACUUAAUAAACAACUUUAAGAAUCAAGGGAUUUAGCCAGGGGCUACAAAGUCAGUGGCUUUUGGUGAUGAAAACUACGAAAACAGCAAGUCGAAAAUUUGAAUUCUAUUCUCCUUCGAUCUUAGUGGUGAUUCCAAAAAGGUCACAAUCGUCUCUCUAGGACGAAUAUACUUUCGGCAAGAGAUACUAGACCAUCUUCUGUUUUGUACAUGGCCUGUUUAGUGCAACCAACAGUAUUAAUUUACUGGGAAUAAGUCAUGUUAUUGAUUGUUUGAAGACAGAAACGAAUAAGAUUUUUUACACCGUCAUGUUCGUAGAGGACUAGUUCCACGAAUAAGAGCAAGAAGGCUUCUAGAGUACGAGAACGAGAAUAAAUAGUACCCAUUUUCACUUUCCUAUCAAAGCA